UACGUAGGGGGCAAGCGUUGUCCGGAUUUAUUGGGCGUAAAGAGCGUGUAGGCGGUUUGGUAGGUCCGCUGUGAAAACUCGAGCUCAACCUCGAGACGCCGGUGGAAACCAUCAGACUAGAGUCCGGAAGAGGAGAGUGGAAUUCCGUGGUGGUAGCGGUGAAUGCGCAGAUAUCAGGGAGAACACCCGUGGCUAAGGCGGCUCUCUAGUACGGUACUGACGCUGAGACGCGAAAGCGUGGGGAGCGAACAGG
rnacentral:rRNA from 1 species